rnacentral:rRNA from 1 species
UACAGAGGGUGCGAGCGUUAUUCGGAAUUACUGGGCGUAAAGCGCACGUAGUCGGCUUUGCAAGUCGGGUGUGAAAUCCCCGGGCUCAACCUGGGAACUGCAUCCGAGACUGCAUUGCUAGAGUAUGGGAGAGGGAAGCGGAAUUUCUGGUGUAGCAGUGAAAUGCGUAGAUAUCAGAAGGAACAUCAGUUGCGAAGGCGGCUUCCUGGACCAAUACUGACGAUCAGGUGCGAAAGCGUGGGGAGCAAACAGG